AGAGUUUGAUCAUGGCUCAGAUUGAACGCUGGCGGCAGGCCUAACACAUGCAAGUCGAACGGUAACAGGAAGCAGCUUGCUGAUUCGCUGACGAGUGGCGGACGGGUGAGUAAUGUCUGGGAAACUGCCUGAUGGAGGGGGAUAACUACUGGAAACGGUAGCUAAUACCGCAUAAUGUCGCAAGACCAAAAAGGGGACCUUCGGGCCUCUUGCCAUCAGAUGUGCCCAGAUGGGAUUAGCUUGUUGGUGGGGUAACGGCUCACCAAGGCGACGAUCCCUAGCUGGUCUGAGAGGAUGACCAGCCACACUGGAACUGAGACACGGUCCAGACUCCUACGGGAGGCAGCAGUGGGGAAUAUUGCACAAUGGGCGCAAGCCUGAUGCAGCCAUGCCGCGUGUAUGAAGAAGGCCUUCGGGUUGUAAAGUACUUUCAGCGGGGAGGAAGGGAGUAAAGUUAAUACCUUUGCUCAUUGACGUUAUCCGCAGAAGAAGCACCGGCUAACUCCGUGCCAGCAGCCGCGGUAAUACGGAGGGUGCAAGCGUUAAUCGGAAUUACUGGGCGUAAAGCGCACGCAGGCGGUUUGUUAAGUCAGAUGUGAAAUCCCCGGGCUCAACCUGGGAACUGCAUCUGAUACUGGCAAGCUUGAGUCUCGUAGAGGGGGGUAGAAUUCCAGGUGUAGCGGUGAAAUGCGUAGAGAUCUGGAGGAAUACCGGUGGCGAAGGCGGCCCCCUGGACGAAGACUGACGCUCAGGUGCGAAAGCGUGGGGAGCAAACAGGAUUAGAUACCCUGGUAGUCCACGCCGUAAACGAUGUCGACUUGGAGGUUGUGCCCUUGAGGCGUGGCUUCCGGAGCUAACGCGUUAAGUCGACCGCCUGGGGAGUACGGCCGCAAGGUUAAAACUCAAAUGAAUUGACGGGGGGCCCGCACAAGCGGUGGAGCAUGUGGUUUAAUUCGAUGCAACGCGAAGAACCUUACCUGGUCUUGACAUCCACGGAAGUUUUCAGAGAUGAGAAUGUGCCUUCGGGAACCGUGAGACAGGUGCUGCAUGGCUGUCGUCAGCUCGUGUUGUGAAAUGUUGGGUUAAGUCCCGCAACGAGCGCAACCCUUAUCCUUUGUUGCCAGCGGUCCGGCCGGGAACUCAAAGGAGACUGCCAGUGAUAAACUGGAGGAAGGUGGGGACGACGUCAAGUCAUCAUGGCCCUUACGACCAGGGCUACACACGUGCUACAAUGGCGCAUACAAAGAGAAGCGACCUCGCGAGAGCAAGCGGACCUCAUAAAGUGCGUCGUAGUCCGGAUUGGAGUCUGCAACUCGAUCCAUGGUCGGACGCUAGUAAUCGUGGAUAGAAGCCCGGGAAUAUUCACCGGGCCUUGACCACGAACCUGCCGAUCCACCAUGGAGUGGGUUGCAGACUCCAAUCCGGACUACGACGCACUUUAUGAGGUCCGCUUGCUCUCGCGAGGUCGCUUCUCUUUGUAUGCGCCAUUGUAGCACGUGUGUAGCCCUGGUCGUAAGGGCCAUGAUGACUUGACGUCGUCCCCACCUUCCUCCAGUUUAUCACUGGCAGUCUCCUUU
rnacentral:rRNA from 1 species